GUUUAUUUCAGGUGUAAUUGUUUUGUAAGUACUGUGGUCAUUUCCUUUCUUGCUAUUUCUCUUGUUCCGCAUAAUUUGAAUAUAAAACAUUUGUACUUUUGAGGCAUCAAAUCACAGGAGAGGGUUGCAGUACUGCUGGGGCUGCCAUUGUACAUGCGGGAGAAUCCAUCUCAGUUCUUAAAGAUCUGUGAGAUGAGACGGAGAUGCAGAAGAUCAUGCAGUGCCCUCUAACAAUGGCGUAUUUUAGAAUAUUUUCCUGGACGUCCAGCAGCGUUAACUCAAAAUAAACCAGAAAGAUGAUUCCUUCACUGAAACGAGUUACUGUUUGGUUACUAACAACAUUUACAACAUGCAACGCUUCACUUCCCGAUUCUAGUUUCGCAAAACCUGAAAAAUACCAGAUUGAUCCACGAGUAGCGUGUGCCCUGGACCAAAUCUGGAACAGAAGAGCGGAGACGCUACCACAGGAAACUGUUGUACGUUAUUUGAACAACGUGAUGGACGUUACAACUCUUGUGAAAGCCAACACUACUGACCGGAGUAAACUAACUUGCUACGGAAAUGGUGUACUGGACAUCACUGAGAAACUGGUGUCUGCACUGGUGAGGAAAACCGACACCAUGGAAUCCAUCAACAUCUCUCUACAAACUUUAGGUAUGGAACAUGUUGGUAAACACAGCUGCUACAAAAUAAAUCUACAGUCCGGUACAAAAGUUUGCAAACCCAUAGGACAAAAUGAAUAUAAUAAACUUCAUAAAUUACAUGUAUAACACUGACGUAUCUUACUGUCAGGAACGGACAGGGUUUUACUGAACAAAGCAGACAAAUCCAAAAAGGCACACCAGCAUCUGUUCUUCUGUAAACUUGACCACGCUUAACACAUUCAAGACUGGGUUGUUUCGUUUUGAAGACAAUAAGGCAAUAAAGAAGUUCAACAUAAUGGCUGAUAUGAUUUUCUAUCUUUCCAGAGGUUCGGGUAAUUAUGAUUGGACAAAACUCCUCUGUGAAUGAGAUCCGUACUCUCGUCACAAGGACUGCUUCCAUGGAUAUCGAGCUCAUGGGGAUCUUGAAGAAUAACAAUGGAUCAGCCGCUGUGGCGUUCAUGAGCUACACCGACAUGGCAGACAUCCUCACACUUUACGACUUUGACAUGUUUAUGAGUAGAAGGAAAAGCAUGAUGUCUACUGUGGUGUCAGUAACACUUCCCCAAACCACCAACACACACCUCAACACACCAGUCAACCUCACCUUCACACACAUCACAGAGUUGGACCCUGAAGGCAUUCUCUCCUGUGUGUACUGGAAGGAAACUGAGUGGUUCAAAGGUGGUUGUAAGAACACAGAGAAAAACAGCACUCACACUGUGUGCUCUUGUCGUCAUCUGGGUACCUUCGCUCUCAUCGCUGAGCUCGACCCGAUCAUGGGAAGAGAGCAGG
ensembl:lncRNA